rnacentral:rRNA from 1 species
AGUGAACGCUGGCGGUAGGCCUAACACAUGCAAGUCGAACGGCAGCACAGUAAGAGCUUGCUCUUACGGGUGGCGAGUGGCGGACGGGUGAGGAAUACAUCGGAAUCUACUUUUUCGUGGGGGAUAACGUAGGGAAACUUACGCUAAUACCGCAUACGACCUACGGGUGAAAGCAGGGGAUCUUCGGACCUUGCGCGAUUGAAUGAGCCGAUGUCGGAUUAGCUAGUUGGCGGGGUAAAGGCCCACCAAGGCGACGAUCCGUAGCUGGUCUGAGAGGAUGAUCAGCCACACUGGAACUGAGACACGGUCCAGACUCCUACGGGAGGCAGCAGUGGGGAAUAUUGGACAAUGGGCGCAAGCCUGAUCCAGCCAUACCGCGUGGGCGAAGAAGGCCUUCGGGUUGUAAAGCCCUUUUGUUGGGAAAGAAAAGCAGCAGGUUAAUACCCCGCUGUUCUGACGGUACCCAAAGAAUAAGCACCGGCUAACUUCAUG